rnacentral:lncRNA from 1 species
AACAAUGACCAUAUUGACACUCAAAGUUUAAGAAGGAAGAGGAGGAGAUGACCAAUGCAAUGCUGACAAUUUCUGACAAACAAUAGAGGCAAGAUGGAAAUGGAAGAGGAGAAAAAGGAAAAAGAAUGAAAAGAAAAAAAAUGAAAAAACUAAAAAGAGAGAAAGAAAAAGGAGAGUAAAUUACAAUACUUUAUUGACAUAUUUUUGUUAUUAUCCACAAAUUUGAUUGGUUAAUAAUUUGAAGUAUUAUUUAUAUUAAUUUAUAAGUUUGUG